UUAAAAACAUAUCCUUCAGUCGGUUUAAUAGAUUCAUAAAUUUUUGACACUAGUGCACUAAAAUAAUGUGUGUAGCAUUCGAAUCGCGUGUAAAGUAAUGGCAUUAACGUUUUCAUUUUCUGACUUAGAUCGUUUUAGACGCGUGUUGGUUUUGGUUUUGUGAUUAAUUACGAGCUAAGUGUUAGGUUCAGCUACACCUCAAACUGAUUUAAACCCAGAGUGUCUUGCAUUGACCGUUCCAAGGCGGUGAUUUCAUUUAAUUAUUGACUGUUUAUAGCUGGUGUUCUACACUUGAUUUGGUUGUUGAUAAUCAAACUUAAGUUCAUGCUUAAAACGCAUAAUUAUGAGUUUUAUAUCUGAACUAAAGAUUGACACGAUGUGCAUAUAAACAUAAAUGUCAUGCGACAAUUUACCUCGGCUUACGUUACAUACAUGUAUCUUUUAUUAUUGAGACUGGUAAGUUAGGUUCUGUUAACCAGAGGGACAUGCGUAUACUGGAGCUGACCGGGUUUAAGUGAGGUCAGUUGGAACUUAACUUCCAAGAUGGCGUCGUUUUCGUGUUUUUCGUGGAGGAGUAGCGGAUAUUUUCACCCGAUAUCAAGACGUAAGUUAUAUAUAUUGAGGAUGCCAAGAUUAAAAAAGACGGCGUAACGAACUGCGUACCGCACUAGAAAGCGAAAGGUACAUGAAAACUCACCAAUCAAACAAAAAGGAUUACGUCGAAGUACCCCGUCAUUUAAACAAACAAAACAACCACAUAUACAUGCAAUAUAAGUGUAAUGAAAAACAGAAAAGGGUAAGGCCGGUUCGAUACUAGUAAAAAGCUGCUGUAACCAAAUACUAACAUUAUUUCGAUUCGGAAUACAUGAAGCAAUUUGGAAUACCUGACACCUGCUUAGAAGAUGCAAAUCGGUGAAUGUUUUUUAUGCAAACUUAAAUAUUAAUUGUUUAUUUAAUACACUGAGAUUCGCCGCGUUUUACCAUAACGAUACAGAUAAAUGUAUGUGACUUUGAUGUGACACAUUUUCGACGACCUUCUUUUAAACCAGUUCUGAGUUGGUCACUAUAUUAUAAUCGCAAAAAGUGAGUUUGUAGUGGAUAGAAAGAUUUGUGAAAAUGCAAUACACGAUAUGAUUUCAGUAGAUGUGAUCAAUAUAUACAUGUAUUUUUUCACUUUUAUACCUAUGUGAAAACAUAAUUAUUGUUUAAGACUGUUUUAUUGAGGAAAUAAAGUAUUUGUUCACUUAGGAA